GCGCCAGACGUGGUAGGAUGUGAGCAUGCGCAGGGCUGUCCCUGCGUUUAGCCGGUACGGAAAAUUCGCUCCGCACCCGUGCCUCUGAUUGGUCCAGUUAAACCCCAGUGUGCCUGAGACCUACUUGAAGGACUUUGCACCUGUGCGGAGGGGCUGAGUUUUCCUGGAGCCUCCAUGGAGACAGGAUCUGCACUAUCCAUCACUGCCAGCCUUCAGCCAGAUGAGGUACUCACACAGGCCCCGGUGCCUUGAUGCCUGUGGCUGUCAAGUCUGUGCCAACAUGAUAAAGAAACAGAGCCACAGAGCAGUUAAGUGACACACGCAAAGUUGCACGGAUGAGGGCAGAGCUGGGAUGCCCGGUUUGAAGCCCGGGAACUCCAUCUCCAUAGCUCAUGCUCUUGAAGACAACUAAAGUGGAAAAAAAUCCCAUAGCAUCUUUAUGUUUUUUCUUUUCUCCAUUCAAGUAAUACUUGACGAGUACUUCUGAAGUACCCCAGCUGCUGGACUACAAUGUGCUGAAAAUAUAAUGGCCUAGUGAAGCUGAAGUCUUUCCUGCUUUCUUCUUGGACAAAGGAAUUUGUGGUGGAAAACAGGAGCUGGAAUAAGCAGGCCCCACUCCUCGAACACAGUCAGCACUACCACAGCUACAUCAGGCCCAUUCUCCCAAACUAAGAUCAGAUCUCACCCACCAUGGGAGACCAUUCAUUCUCUUUUUAUGGCAAAGAAGUUAAGUUGAAUUUCUGCUACUGAAAUCAAAGAAUCUUAAUGCACACAUAUUCUUCCUCUUUUUAAAGUUCCAAUGCCAAAGAAGCCAUCAUGUGCCCUACAUGGGAAGGGGAAAAGUUUGUAUGUAAGAAAUGAGAAUAAACCUGAGGAAGGCAAAUGAAGCUCUUAGGGGAUGAUACCAAUUUCCUAGGCACCAACUGCUGAAAUUAUCUCCCCUUCUACCCAUACCCAACAGCCAGAAAUUUUUAGAGAAACACGAACAGCAGCAAAAGAAGGAAUCAGCCACCAGGAUGCAUGGAGAGACACCAGCAAAUCAAGUAUCUUAUCUCCACUAAAAAGAUUUAGUAUUAGAAAGCUGCAGUGAAGUCUCAUAUCUCGAAAAUUCAUUACAGCCAUAAAAAGCACCACCAUAUUUUCAUGAGCUAUUAAAACAAACAGUUAAAAAUAAAGCCCAUUUGGUAUCCAA